rnacentral:rRNA from 1 species
CGCUAGCGGCGGAUGGGUGAGUAACACGUGGGCAAUCUGCCCUAAAGACUGGGAUACCACUUGGAAACAGGUGCUAAUACCGGAUAACAACAUGAAUCGCAUGAUUCAAGUUUGAAAGGCGGCGUAAGCUGUCACUUUAGGAUGAGCCCGCGGCGCAUUAGCUAGUUGGUGGGGUAAAGGCCUACCAAGGCAAUGAUGCGUAGCCGAGUUGAGAGACUGAUCGGCCACAUUGGGACUGAGACACGGCCCAAACUCCUACGGGAGGCAGCAGUAGGGAAUCUUCCACAAUGGACGCAAGUCUGAUGGAGCAACGCCGCGUGAGUGAAGAAGGUUUUCGGAUCGUAAAGCUCUGUUGUUGGUGAAGAAGGAUAGAGGCAGUAACUGGUCUUUAUUUGACGGUAAUCAACCAGAAAGUCACGGCUAACUACGUGCCAGCAGCCGCGGUAAUACGUAGGUGGCAAGCGUUGUCCGGAUUUAUUGGGCGUAAAGCGAGCGCAGGCGGAAUGAUAAGUCUGAUGUGAAAGCCCACGGCUCAACCGUGGAACUGCAUCGGAAACUGUCAUUCUUGAGUGCAGAAGAGGAGAGUGGAAUUCCAUGUGUAGCGGUGGAAUGCGUAGAUAUAUGGAAGAACACCAGUGGCGAAGGCGGCUCUCUGGUCUGCAACUGACGCUGAGGCUCGAAAGCAUGGGUAGCGAACAGGAUUAGAUACCCUGGUAGUCCAUGCCGUAAACGAUGAGCGCUAGGUGUUGGGGACUUUCCGGUCCUCAGUGCCGCAGCAAACGCAUUAAGCGCUCCGCCUGGGGAGUACGACCGCAAGGUUGAAACUCAAAGGAAUUGACGGGGGCCCGCACAAGCGGUGGAGCAUGUGGUUUAAUUCGAAGCAACGCGAAGAACCUUACCAGGUCUUGACAUCCUGCGCUACACCUAGAGAUAGGUGGUUCCCUUCGGGGACGCAGAGACAGGUGGUGCAUGGCUGUCGUCAGC